rnacentral:rRNA from 1 species
AUACGGAGGAUCCGAGCGUUAUCCGGAUUUAUUGGGUUUAAAGGGUGCGCAGGCGGCCAUUUAAGUCAACGGUUAAAUCGUGGGGCUCAACCCCAUUCUGCCGUUGAUACUGGGUGGCUUGAUUGCGGUCGAGGUUGGCGGAAUUCGUUGUGUAGCGGUGAAAUGCAUAGAUAUGACGAAGAACACCGAUUGCGUAGGCAGCUGACCAGACCGCAAAUGACGCUCAUGCACGAAAGUGCGGGGAUCGAACAGGAUUAGAUACCCUGGUAGUCCGCACAGUAAACGAUGAAUACUUGUUUUCGGCGAUAUAAUGUCGGAGGCAAAGCGAAAGCGAUAAGUAUUCCACCUGGGGAGUACGCCGGCAACGGUGAAACUCAAAUGAAUUGACGGGG